rnacentral:rRNA from 1 species
AGCUCCAAUAGCGUAUAUUAAAGUUGCUGCAGUUAAAAAGCUCGUAGUUGGAUCUCGGGGUACCUGGUCUAGCCGGUAUAGCUCACGCUAAAACUGGUCUGACCCCCCAACGUGAGGUAUUCGUCUCCGGGUGCACUUCAUUGGGUGCUCGUGAGGGGCCUCGUAGUUACUGUGAAAAAAUUAGAGUGUUCAAAGCAGGCUCAUAUGUUCGGAUAGUCGUGCAUGGAAUAAUGAAAUCGUGACCGGGGGCUUUCAGUUGGGUUUGGGGGCCUGGUAAAAGGUUAAAAGGGGAUGCCGGGGGCAUUGGUAUGGCGGGGUUAGAGGUGAAAUUCUUGGAUCCUCGCCAGACCAACAAAAGCGAAAGCAUUUGCCAAGAAUGUCUUCA